UGACAGGCCAACAUCAGUCUUGACUGCUGGAAAAGAGCAGGGGGAAUGUGGCACCUUUGGGUGUGUUAUAGCCCUUUGUCAUAUGUGGCAGUUGGGACUGAGGGAUGCAGCAUGCCGCGAGGCUGGGUUUCUGACCACGUUCAUGCUUAGGAUGUUGGCUUUUAAUGGCUUCAAUCGACCCGUCUUGAAACACGGACCAAGGAGUCUAACAUGCCUGCGAGUGUUUGGGUGGGGAAAACCCUUGUGCACAAUGAAAGUGAAAGUUGAGAUCCCUGUCAUGGGGAGCAUCGACGCCCGGACCUGAGCUUUUAGCGACGGAUCCGCGGUAGAGCAUGCAUGUUGGGACCCGAAAGAUGGUGAACUAUGCCUGAAUAGGGCAAAGCCAGAGGAAACUYUGGUGGAGGCUCGUAGCGAUUCUGACGUGCAAAUCGAUCGUCAAAUUUGGGUAUAGGGGCGAAAGACUAAUCGAACCAUCUAGUAGCUGGUUCCUGCCGAAGUUUCCCUCAGGAUAGCAGAAGCUCAUUAUCAGAUUUAUGUGGUAAAGCGAAUGAUUAGAGGCCUUGGGGUUGAAACAACCUUAACCUAUUCUCAAACUUUAAAUAUGUAAGAACGAGCUGUCACUUGACUGGACUGCUCGGUGAUUGAGAGCUUCUAGUGGGCCAUUUUUGGUAAGCAGAACUGGCGAUGCGGGAUGAACCGAUCGCAAGGUUAAGGUGCCAGAGUUCACGCUCAUCAGACACCACAAAAGGUGUUAGUUCAUCUAGACAGCAGGACGGUGGCCAUGGAAGUCGGAACCCGCUAAGGAGUGUGUAACAACUCACCUGCCGAAUGAACUAGCCCUGAAAAUGGAUGGCGCUUAAGCGUGACACCCAUACCUUGCUGUCAGUGUUGAAGUGAUGCACUGACAAGUAGGCAGGCGUGGAGGUCAGUGAAGAAGCCUAGGCA
rnacentral:rRNA from 1 species